UGGACGGAGAACUGAUAAGGGCAUGUGU
ensembl:miRNA